rnacentral:rRNA from 1 species
ACAAGCGGUGGAGCAUGUGGUUUAAUUCGAAGCAACGCGAAGAACCUUACCAGGUCUUGACAUCCCCUGACAACCCGAGAGAUCGGGCGUUCCCCUUCGGGGACAGGGUGACAGGUGGUGCAUGGUUGUCGUCAGCUCGUGUCGUGAGAUGUUGGGUUAAGUCCCGCAACGAGCGCAACCCUCGACCUUAGUUGCCAGCAUUCAGUUGGGCACUCUAAGGUGACUGCCGGCUAAAAGUCGGAGGAAGGUGGGGAUGACGUCAAAUCAUCAUGCCCCUUAUGACCUGGGCUACACACGUGCUACAAUGGGCGGUACAAAGGGUCGCGAACCCGCGAGGGGGAGCCAAUCCCAAAAAGCCGCUCUCAGUUCGGAUUGCAGGCUGCAACUCGCCUGCAUGAAGCCGGAAUCGCUAGUAAUCGCGGAUCAGCAUGCCGCGGUGAAUGCGUUCCCGGGCCUU